AGCAUUAUUAUAUAUUACAUACUACAGGUACAUACACUCUAGUGUGGUAGAUACUAUGUAGAACAUACAAAAGAAAGUGGGAGUAACUACACAUAUAUGUAGGACAUGACUAUUCCAUUACUAGUAAGAUAAGAUUAUUCUAUUACUAUCGCUCAUAUAUAGGCUCCGAUCACGAAUUUUCCAAUCGAUACGUACUAAAGAAAAAAAGAGCCCACCCGGACUAUCCGAC
rnacentral:lncRNA from 1 species